rnacentral:rRNA from 1 species
UGACCGCUGGCGGCGUGCCUACUACAUGCACGUCGAGCGAACGGACGAGAAGCUUGCUUUUCUGAUGUUAGCGGCGGACGGGUGAGUAACACGUGGAUAACCUACCUAUAAGACUGGGAUAACUUCGGGAAACCGGAGCUAAUUCCGGAUAAUAUUUUGAACCGCAUGGUUCCAAAGUGAAAGACGGUCUUGCUGUCACUUAUAGAUGGAUCCGCGCUGCAUUAGCUAGUUGGUAAGGUAACGGCUUACCAAGGCAACGAUGCAUAGCCGACCUGAGAGGGUGAUCGGCCACACUGGAACUGAGACACGGUCCAGACUCCUACGGGAGGCAGCAGUAGGGAAUCUUCCGCAAUGGGCGAAAGCCUGACGGAGCAACGCCGCGUGAGUGAUGAAGGUCUUCGGAUCGUAAAACUCUGUUAUUAGGGAAGAACAUAUGUGUAAGUAACUGUGCACAUCUUGACGGUACCUAAUCAGAAAGCCACGGCUAACUACGUG